CUGAAGGUGCUGGAUGUUUGAGUUGCCCCCCCUUCCCCCCCCGAAGUGGUGGAACACGCAGGAGAUGUCCAUGAGGUGGAGAAGGAACCCACCCAGCGCUGCUUGGUUUGUCUGUCCGCACUAGGGGGUUUUCCUAAUUGCUUUUACUCAACCAUUUAAAGUUUGGCUAACGAUGUCAGUCUAGUCUCUCUGUACCUUCCCCGGGGAGCCCUGUGUCUGGCAGCGAGGUGAGAAACUCACACAUGGCAGACCCAGAUCCACUCUUUGUGCUGCCCUGAGGCCCGGGGGUAGCUCUAGGGUGGGGAGGGGGCAAGUCCUGGCCCCCCCAGGAGCUGUAGGUUUGUGCCUCGUGGAUGCAGCACCCCAGGUCUCGUCCUCAGCGUGCCACCAGCUUGGGUAGCAAAGACCACUGCUGGGUGAACAUCAGCUCCUUUCCUAUUGCUCUGCUCCUCAGAGGAAGGGAGCAAUGAGCCUUUUUUCACAACAGGAGUCCCUCUGUGCCUCCCCCGUGUCUCGCCGUGUUCUCUUUUCACACUUUGGGCACAAAGUCAGCUCUCUCCCGUGGUCUGAUGAGCCCCAGGGGCAGCAGAGGACACCGGCCACCUCCGGGCUCUGUCGGAGGUGGAGAAUGCUGGUUCUGGCUGCCACCCAGGAUUGUUUUAAACAGGGACUUCAAUACCAUAUUUAACACUUAAAUUUGUAGCUUGUAGUUCGGGCGAAAGGUGUGCUGGGCAAGGGCUUACCUACCCCAACCUCUGGAGAAACAGGAAUAUGAUUCUCCUAAAAACAAAAUAACCUUUUUUGUAGGUAGUGCUGUUUCCUUCUCUUUGCUCAGCUCCCCUGCGACAGGGAUGAGAGAGGGAAGGAGACAUGGAGCUCAAAAUAAAAAGGAAGGGACCCGGAGUCAGCUUCCAGCAGCCUGUGUGGGGAGUGUCACCGGGAUAACGGGGCUGUAGGUCAGUUGUUGGGCUCUGGGGCAGGGAAUUUGAGGUGAGGGGUCUGUGCUUGGGGGUUGCUGCACUGGGAGCAAAGUCUUUGCUCUAUGUGUCCUCUGUGCAGGGCACUAAAACUUGGGUGGAUUUAGUGGGCUCCGUAAUCCCAGUGCUCUGCUCCCUGCCAGCAGCAGCCCUGAGAAGCUUGAAACCUUCAAGCUUAAGCCUUCAAACGUUCCCAUCUGUCUGUGUUCCUCAGCCCAGCCUCAGACCAGGCUUUGGGCUGCUGCUCUGGCACAGGCUGGUGUUUAGUCCCAUUGGGCAGAUGGUGUUGGCUGCCAUGGGCUGGAAAUGGCAACUUGUGUGGUUAAUUCUGUGGGCGGGUGAGAAGAGAGGCAGGAGAUGGGAAGGUUACUGGAGCUCCCAAAGGUGCAGGAGGACUUUGGGAGCUGGUGGCUAGAUGUGGGAGGAUGGUGGACCACCACCAAUGGACUCCAGUUUCAUGUGCUGAUUCUACUGAUGUGAUAACACAGGGCUGAAAGAAAUCUAAUAUAAAGUGGAACCUGUGCAGAAUAUUUUAUGGUUUGGUAGUCUGAAUCUGGACCUCCAACCUUGGCUAAAAGAGAUGGCACUCUCCCAGCGUUUCUGCAGGGAGGUUUAUUUGUAGGCAAGCUCAGGGGUGGUGUAAGGAAGAGAUACGGCUUCUAGUGCUUGAUUUCCUGGGGAAAUCAGGAGCAGAACUGGGUGUGGAUGCGGCUGGAACAGGGUCUGGACCUGUCACACUCUCACUAUCUGCAAUAGCUGCCAUAUUUAUUUGAGAGGAAUAUGACAGUGGAUGAGUGUUGGCUUCCUUCCACCUGUAAAAUAAGGGCUGUUGUAGACUGCCAGAA
rnacentral:lncRNA from 1 species